GUGGGGCUUCGGCCCCGCCGAGAUAGAACCCUUGCCUUUUGUAUACCGUCCGUUUCCUCGGCAGGCUCGCCUGCCAAUGGGGACCAUAAUAAACCUUUGUAAUAACCUGUAACUGUCUGAUCAAAAAAUUAAAUUUAAAACUUUUAACAACGGAUCUCUUGGUUCU
rnacentral:misc_RNA from 1 species